UGUAGAGCUGGAGAGGUGGAACGGCCUCGUGACCUCCAGUAAGGGUCCGAAAAUCCAGAAUUAUGCACACCCUCAGAGCCAGCCUGGAGGAGUUUCCUGUGAAAGGAUUUGAUGAGUGGCUGCGUGUUCUCCGGGAGGAAGGUCUACGGCGACGCUGUCACCGGCUCUGUUCCCAGCCUCGUCAAGGGCAUCGUUAUGACCUUGAAUGAAGAUAUGAAUUGGUCUACGUGGGGGUAGGGUCCAUCGCAGCAAGCGAAUUGGAUAACAGCCGGGAUCUAGAGAGAGGCUGACAGGCAGGAGCAGCCCUACCAGAUCGAAUAAGGAAGGUCAUUGCCCGAGUACGUGGUCAAAUGUGGGGGCCACUAUUCAUGAUGGAAGGAAGCAGGCCCUAGCCAUGGACGGCAAGUCUGACUCAGCGGGCCUCCAGGGCAACCUGGAACCAUCAAGUCACCACGACCCUUGGCUCGGCCGGCCAGUGGGGUGCAGUCCGGUGUCCACGAUCCUUUCAUACAGGUGAGGAGAAUCAUCCUCCCCAGGGCACUUCCCCAACUUUGCCCCAGGCCAGCAGUCCCAGGAGAAGGGCACAGAGGCCCAGGCUGGCCCCUGAACAUUCUCAGUCAGCUCCGGCCCUGCAAGAGGCUGUGGGAGGCCAGUGACGGCGGCCCAGCCUGCUCCUGGUGUCUCGGCACAGGCCCCCCGGUCUGUUCGCCCCCAGCCCCGCUUCUGGAAGUCCCGCAGCUGCUCUUUCCCCUGGGCAGGCCGUGCAGGGCCCCCGGGAGCAGGUCCGAGGACCCGGAGCCUGGGGGAGGCCUGGCCUCUGCCCUCUAGGUCUUCUUCGCCUGCUUCCCCCUAGGGUUCCUGCCAAGCCCUGGAUGUGGGAACAUGGGAGGGAAGGAGAGGCUGGGCACACGGGGGGCUGCAGCGGCGUGUGGUAUUCUCAUUACCGGGGAGCAGAAAGGGCCAGGCCAGCCCCCCCCCCCCCGCCCCCGGGCCACUGUGGCCGCCUUCACACCUCCUCUCGGCUGUUGACACAAGGCCACCUCCCCCCCGGGCGGAAGGUGUCAACUUGGGAACCACGGUGUUCGGGAGCCUCCAAAACAGGCAGCAGGUCCUCUCAGAAACCCCAGAAAGCCCUUCUGGGGUGGGGGUGGGAGGCUGCAGGUCCCCACCCCCAGCGGCCCAGGGAGGAGGGAGGGCCUGUGUCCUGGGGACGGGGAGGAGGAAGCGGGGAGUCGGAAGACAGGAGCCCCGAGCCCACUUGCCCAUUCCAUCCCCUCCUGGCUCUGGGGGCUGGUGCAUGACAAGGUCCUGCCCGGCAGUGCCAUCAGUGUCACCAGGGGGCCCAGAGACUGAAGCCACCAGGGCAAGGUCACCCUGACAGGGCUUCCUGACCGCCCGGUCUCCUGAGCCCUUUUAGACCGCACCGCGCCCACCGCCACCUGCAGGAGCCUCAUCACUGCUCAGACCCCUCGACUUCUGGCCUGUCAUUCUCCCCGUGCUUGGACAGGCCAGGCCCAGAGAAGUCAGCCCCUCAGCCUUCAUGCCCCAGAGUCAGGAAUAAGAUCCACGGAGGCCAGGCACCAGGCACCAUGGGGAAACUCUGCCUCAGGCCGAGGGGAGGCUCUGGGGAGGGACGAGCCCUCUGGAAUCCAGAACUUGGCCUAGCGUGCCGGGAGCCCAGGCCCACAGAGGGGCACGACCCGGCCAAGUGAUCAGGGCAGGACCCAGGAGGAAGUUGGGGGGGACCCAGAGUUGUGGGUAUUCUCCUGGCAGAGGGACGAGGUGGGUGUGUGCAUCUGGGAGUGGGAAGUUCCCCCUCCUCAAACCCCUCCGCCACCGCAGCUCCAGGCAGUGCAGGUGGGCUGGGGCCCCCGCCCAGAGAGGUGGGAGAGGCAGAGGACUAGCAAGCGGGAGGAGGUGGGGGUUCAAAAGGCUACUGACUGGUGAGCUGGGACUCCUAGGGAGGGAGGCAGUGGGAACACAGACAUUCUGAGUAAGGAGGGGGGCAGAAGCUGCCCAGCAGGCCGGGUGCCCUUCUCCAAGAGGGCUGAUCCAGGGAGGCUGGCGUGAGAGGGCGUGCCGAGGCCCCAGGACUGCCUAGUCCAGGUCCCGGGGCAGCAAGACCCAGUGUGGGGGGGCUCAGGCCUAGGGCCAGCCAUGCCUGGGCUCCAUCCCUCGAGCCUCAGUCUCCUCCUCUAUGAAAUGGGUGUCCUUGCUGGGAGGAUUCGCUGGAGCAUCAUGGGUUUGGCAUGUGGGACUCCAGAUGUCUUGCCUGCCUGCCGGGCUGGAGAGAAGCGACCACUUGUGCUCCUGCAGCUCCGGGAAAGGACAGAAGGGGAGAGUGAGGGCCGCGCACUCCUGUGACCCAGGCUCUGGGAGGGCAGACCCAGCCUUCUGGCCCCCGAAACACCAGGGGGCAUGGGCCCACCUGCUGGAAUGCAAACAAGUUUGGGCUGGUUCUGCAAAGUUUUUCCCUCCCCUCCUCUUCCCGGCCCUUCUCUCCCCCUCCCUGCCUUCCUUUUCCGUCUCUUACUUUAAUUAUCAAAGCGAGGCAUGCGCCUUACAGGAAAGUGAGAAAAUGUAGGCAAAUCAAAAGGAAUUUUAAAUGCCCCUGGUUCCAUCUACCCAGAGAGAACCAGCUUAACACCAGGUUGGCACCAGGUUGGCGCGGA